rnacentral:rRNA from 1 species
UAACACCGGCAGCUCUAGUGGUAGCCAUUUUUAUUGGGCCUAAAGCGUUCGUAGCCGGUUUGAUAAGUCUCUGGUGAAAUCCUAUAGCUUAACUGUGGGACUUGCUGGAGAUACUAUUAGACUUGAGGUCGGGAGAGGUUAGCGGUACUCCCAGGGUAGGGGUGAAAUCCUGUAAUCCUGGGAGGACCACCUGUGGCGAAGGCGGCUAACUGGAACGAACCUGACGGUGAGGGACGAAAGCCAGGGGCGCGAACCGGAUUAGAUACCCGGGUAGUCCUGGCCGUAAACGAUGUGGACUUGGUGUUGGAAUGGCUUCGAGCUGCUCCAGUGCCGAAGGGAAGCUGUUAAGUCCACCGCCUGGGAAGUACGGUCGCAAGACUGAAACUUAAAGGAAUUGACGG